CCCGUAUCUCAACCUCCUUUCCCCUAUAUUAAAUCUUCAACCAUUACUUAUUUUCCUCACCUAUCGUCUCCGCAAGCAAGAAUCAUCCUUCAACUUCUACUCAAGAAAUUGAAAUCCUUUCGGCAUCAAGACCCUGCCUUUUUAGCUUUGUGAACUUCACAACCCAAACUCAUUCACAGAGGUGAGACUUCGCAAGGGAAUCGAGAUACCAAAGGGAAGGAAGUGUAGAGAAUUAAGCAAUUGAGGUUGAGCGGCGACGAGGAUGUGGUGGUGUUGAGCUAGUGAAUUUAAGAUAUAGUGGUUG